rnacentral:rRNA from 1 species
AGAGUUUGAUCAUGGCUCAGAUUGAACGCUGGCGGCAGGCCUAACACAUGCAAGUCGAGCGGUAGCACAGAGAGCUUGCUCUCGGGUGACGAGCGGCGGACGGGUGAGUAAUGUCUGGGAAACUGCCUGAUGGAGGGGGAUAACUACUGGAAACGGUAGCUAAUACCGCAUAAUGUCGCAAGACCAAAGUGGGGGACCUUCGGGCCUCAUGCCAUCAGAUGUGCCCAGAUGGGAUUAGCUAGUAGGUGGGGUAACGGCUCACCUAGGCGACGAUCCCUAGCUGGUCUGAGAGGAUGACCAGCCACACUGGAACUGAGACACGGUCCAGACUCCUACGGGAGGCAGCAGUGGGGAAUAUUGCACAAUGGGCGCAAGCCUGAUGCAGCCAUGCCGCGUGUGUGAAGAAGGCCUUCGGGUUGUAAAGCACUUUCAGCGGGGAGGAAGGCGNNNNNNNNNNNNCGAUUGACGUUACCCGCAGAAGAAGCACCGGCUAACUCCGUGCCAGCAGCCGCGGUAAUACGGAGGGUGCAAGCGUUAAUCGGAAUUACUGGGCGUAAAGCGCACGCAGGCGGUCUGUCAAGUCGGAUGUGAAAUCCCCGGGCUCAACCUGGGAACUGCAUUCGAAACUGGCAGGCUAGAGUCUUGUAGAGGGGGGUAGAAUUCCAGGUGUAGCGGUGAAAUGCGUAGAGAUCUGGAGGAAUACCGGUGGCGAAGGCGGCCCCCUGGACAAAGACUGACGCUCAGGUGCGAAAGCGUGGGGAGCAAACAGGAUUAGAUACCCUGGUAGUCCACGCCGUAAACGAUGUCGAUUUGGAGGUUGUGCCCUUGAGGCGUGGCUUCCGGAGCUAACGCGUUAAAUCGACCGCCUGGGGAGUACGGCCGCAAGGUUAAAACUCAAAUGAAUUGACGGGGGCCCGCACAAGCGGUGGAGCAUGUGGUUUAAUUCGAUGCAACGCGAAGAACCUUACCUGGUCUUGACAUCCACAGAACUUUCCAGAGAUGGAUUGGUGCCUUCGGGAACUGUGAGACAGGUGCUGCAUGGCUGUCGUCAGCUCGUGUUGUGAAAUGUUGGGUUAAGUCCCGCAACGAGCGCAACCCUUAUCCUUUGUUGCCAGCGGUUCGGCCGGGAACUCAAAGGAGACUGCCAGUGAUAAACUGGAGGAAGGUGGGGAUGACGUCAAGUCAUCAUGGCCCUUACGACCAGGGCUACACACGUGCUACAAUGGCAUAUACAAAGAGAAGCGACCUCGCGAGAGCAAGCGGACCUCAUAAAGUAUGUCGUAGUCCGGAUUGGAGUCUGCAACUCGACUCCAUGAAGUCGGAAUCGCUAGUAAUCGUAGAUCAGAAUGCUACGGUGAAUACGUUCCCGGGCCUUGUACACACCGCCCGUCACACCAUGGGAGUGGGUUGCAAAAGAAGUAGGUAGCUUAACCUUCGGGAGGGCGCUUACCACUUUGUGAUUCAUGACUGGGGUGAAGUCGUAACAAGGUAACCGUAGGGGAACCUGCGGUUGGAUCACCU